rfam:Croceibacter atlanticus HTCC2559, complete genome.
UAACCUCUGGCGAGAAUCGCGAAUGUUG